rnacentral:rRNA from 1 species
GAAUAUUGGACAAUGGGGGGAACCCUGAUCCAGCCAUGCCGCGUGUGUGAAGAAGGCCUUUUGGUUGUAAAGCACGUUAAGCGAGGAGGAGGCUACUCUGGUUAAUACCUAGAGAUAGUGGACGUUACUCGCAGAAUAAGCACCGGCUACCUCUUUGCGCGCACCCGCGGUAAUACAGAGGGUGCACGCGUUAAUCGGAUUUACUGGGCGUAAAGAGCGCGUAGGUGGACAAUUAAGUCAAAUGUGAAAUCCCCGAGCUUAACUUGGGAAUUGCAUUCGAUACUGGUUGGCUAGAGUAUGGGAGAGGAUGGUAGAAUUCCAGGUGUAGCGGUGAAAUGCGUAGAGAUCUGGAGGAAUACCGAUGGCGAAGGCAGCCAUCUGGCCUAAUACUGACACUGAGGUGCGAAAGCAUGGGGAGCAAAC